rnacentral:rRNA from 1 species
GAUGAACGCUGGCGGCGUGCCUAAUACAUGCAAGUAGAGCGCUGAAGGUUGGUACUUCUACUGUCUGUGUGUGGCGCGCGCGUGUGUGUCACGUGUGGGACCUGCGUCGUAGCGCGGGGGAACUCUUUGGAACGCGAAUGCUUAUCCCGCAUCAACACUUUAAACAUAAUUUUUAAUUUAAAAAGGCACCAGCUCCACUAUCAAAUAUAAUUCCGCGUUGUAUUCGCUAGUUGGUGAGGUAAGGGCUCACCAAGGCGAUGAUACAUAGCCGACCUGAGAGGGUGAUCGGCCACAUUGGGACUGAGACACGGCCCAGACUCCUACGGGAGGCAGCAGUAGGGAAUCUUCGGCAAUAGACGAAAGUCUGACCGAGCAACGCCGCGUGAGUGAAGAAGGUUUUCGGAUCGUAAAGCUCUGUUGUUAGAGAAGAACGUGGGUGAGAGUGGAAAGCUCACCAAGUGACGGUAACUAACCAGAAAGGGACGGCUAACUACGUG